CGGUCCGACGCAUUUGCUUCCCGCCCGAAGGACGCCGCAACCGGUUGGGACACGGCCUUAAGGGCGAGAGACGGCAGGUGGCCGGCGGUCGCUCCUCGCGAGCGUCAGCCGGUUGUUAGCCAUCUCGCCGCACGGCACGAGUCCCGACCGUGGAAAGAAAGAGGCCCUCUUUGGGCUUCGACGUCUCCUCCUCAGGUGGCGGGUGAAGAAGCGCUGGCAGGAGCUGGAUUGUCUGCGGGCGCACGGACCGACUCCGUGGCCCAGCGUUCCGUCCUCUUCGUUGGCCGCGCAAGGCCCGUGGGAGUGCACGACGGUUGGCGGCGAGUAGAUCGGUAACCCACCCGACCCGUCUUGAAACACGGACCAAGGAGUCUAACAUGUGUGCGAGUCAAUGGGUCUUGAAUAAGCCCAGAGGCGCAAUGAAAGCGAAGGCCGGAGGACUCCGGCCGUGUUGGGAUCCCGGCUCCUCUCGCGGGCCGGGCGCACCAACGACCCGUUCUGUUCCACUUGUGGAUUGGGCGGAGUCUGAGCAUACACGUUUUGUCCCGAAAGAUGGUGAACUAUGCCCGGGCAGGACGAGGCCAGAGGAAACUCUGGUGGAGGUCCGUAGCGGUUCUGACGUGCAAAUCGAUCGUCAGAUCCGGGUCUAGCGGCGAAAGACCAAUCGAACCAUCUA
rnacentral:rRNA from 1 species